UUUUUUUUUCUAAUUAUCAAAAACAAAUAUUAAAAUCCAGUGGCAACCAUUGUAAAUAAGUUUCAACUACAAGAUUUAUUUCACAAAAUGGCUGCAAAAAUGUAUAUAUAGAUAUGUAUAGUUAAUGUUUGCAUGCUCAUCAAAAUGCAUUGUGAAAAGAGGUGAACAUGCCCGUGUAGUUUGUU
rnacentral:sRNA from 1 species